GACGAACGUUGGCGGCGUGCUUAACACAUGCCAGUCGAACGGUGAACCUCUUCGGAGGGGAUCAGUGGCGAACGGGUGAGUAACACGUGGGCAACCUGCCCCCGGCUCUGGGAUAACUCCAAGAAAUUGGGGCUAAUACCGGAUGUUCACCGCUUCCCGCAUGGGUGGUGGUGGAAGGGGUUUCCGGCUGGGGAUGGGCCCGCGGCCUAUCAGCUUGUUGGUGGGGUAGUGGCCUACCAAGGCGACGACGGGUAGCCGGCCUGAGAGGGUGACCGGCCACACUGGGACUGAGACACGGCCCAGACUCCUACGGGAGGCAGCAGUGGGGAAUAUUGCGCAAUGGGCGGAAGCCUGACGCAGCGACGCCGCGUGGGGGAUGACGGCCUUCGGGUUGUAAACCUCUUUCAGCAGGGACGAAGCGCAAGUGACGGUACCUGCAGAAGAAGCGCCGGCCAACUACGUG
rnacentral:rRNA from 1 species